UAGGGAAUCUCCCACAAUGGACGCAAGUCUGAUGGAGCAACGCCGCGUGAGUGAAGAAGGCUUUCGGGUCGUAAAACUCUGUUAUUGAAGAAGAACGUGUGUGACAGUAACUGGUCAUGCAGUGACGGUAUUCAAUCAGAAAGUCACGGCUAACUACGUGCCAGCAGCCGCGGUAAUACGUAGGUGGCAAGCGUUGUCCGGAUUUAUUGGGCGUAAAGCGAGUGCAGGCGGUCUUUUAAGUCUGAUGUGAAAGCCUUCGGCUUAACCGAAGAAGGGCAUCGGAAACUGGGAGACUUGAGUGCAGAAGAGGAGAGUGGAACUCCAUGUGUAGCGGUGAAAUGCGUAGAUAUAUGGAAGAACACCAGUGGCGAAGGCGGCUCUCUGGUCUGUAACUGACGCUGAGGCUCGAAAGCGUGGGUAGCAAACAGGAUUAGAUACCCUG
rnacentral:rRNA from 1 species